GUUGAAACACUGGCUCUCAUAUGAUCACUAAAGUUAAGCAAUGCCAAGCCUGAUCAGUACCUAGAUGACUGAUCAUUUGGGAAUACCAGGUGCUGCAAU